GGGUUGUGAGGUUAAGCGACUAAGCGUACACGGUGGAUGCCCUGGCAGUCAGAGGCGAUGAAGGGCGUGCUAAUCUGCGAUAAGCGCCGGUAAGGUGAUAUGAACCGUUAUAACCGGCGAUACCCGAAUGGGGAAACCCAGUGUGAUUCGUCACACUAUCAUUAACUGAAUCCAUAGGUUAAUGAGGCGAACCGGGGGAACUGAAACAUCUAAGUACCCCGAGGAAAAGAAAUCAACCGAGAUUCCCCCAGUAGCGGCGAGCGAACGGGGAGGAGCCCAGAGCCUGAAUCAGCAUGUGUGUUAGUGGAAGCGUCUGGAAAGUCGCGCGAUACAGGGUGACAGCCCCGUACACAAAAGCGCAUGUGUUGUGAGCUCGAUGAGUAGGGCGGGACACGUGGUAUCCUGUCUGAAUAUGGGGGGACCAUCCUCCAAGGCUAAAUACUCCUGACUGACCGAUAGUGAACCAGUACCGUGAGGGAAAGGCGAAAAGAACCCCGGCGAGGGGAGUGAAAAAGAACCUGAAACCGUGUACGUACAAGCAGUGGGAGCACAGGUUUACCUGUGUGACUGCGUACCUUUUGUAUAAUGGGUCAGCGACUUAUAUUCUGUAGCAAGGUUAACCGUAUAGGGGAGCCGGAGGGAAACCGAGUCUUAAUUGGGCGUUAAGUUGCAGGGUAUAGACCCGAAACCCGGUGAUCUAGCCAUGGGCAGGUUGAAGGUUGGGUAACACUAACUGGAGGACCGAACCGACUAAUGUUGAAAAAUUAGCGGAUGACCUGUGGCUGGGGGUGAAAGGCCAAUCAAACCGGGAGAUAGCUGGUUCUCCCCGAAAGCUAUUUAGGUAGCGCCUCGUGAAUUCAUCUCCGGGGGUAGAGCACUGUUUCGGCUAGGGGGCCAUCCCGGCUUACCAACCCGAUGCAAACUGCGAAUACCGGAGAAUGUUAUCACGGGAGACACACGGCGGGUGCUAACGUCCGUCGUGAAGAGGGAAACAACCCAGACCGCCAGCUAAGGUCCCAAAGUCAUGGUUAAGUGGGAAACGAUGUGGGAAGGCCCAGACAGCCAGGAUGUUGGCUUAGAAGCAGCCAUCAUUUAAAGAAAGCGUAAUAGCUCACUGGUCGAGUCGGCCUGCGCGGAAGAUGUAACGGGGCUAAACCAUGCACCGAAGCUGCGGCAGCGA
rnacentral:rRNA from 1 species